rnacentral:rRNA from 1 species
AGAGUUUGAUCAUGGCUCAGAUUGAACGCUGGCGGCAGGCCUAACACAUGCAAGUCGAACGGUAACAGGAAACAGCUUGCUGUUUCGCUGACGAGUGGCGGACGGGUGAGUAAUGUCUGGGAAACUGCCUGAUGGAGGGGGAUAACUACUGGAAACGGUAGCUAAUACCGCAUAAUGUCGCAAGACCAAAGAGGGGGACCUUCGGGCCUCUUGCCAUCGGAUGUGCCCAGAUGGGAUUAGCUAGUAGGUGGGGUAACGGCUCACCUAGGCGACGAUCCCUAGCUGGUCUGAGAGGAUGACCAGCCACACUGGAACUGAGACACGGUCCAGACUCCUACGGGAGGCAGCAGUGGGGAAUAUUGCACAAUGGGCGCAAGCCUGAUGCAGCGACGCCGCGUGCGGGAUGACGGCCUUCGGGUUGUAAACCGCUUUUGACUGGGAGCAAGCCCUUCGGGGUGAGUGUACCUUUCGAAUAAGCACCGGCUAACUACGUGCCAGCAGCCGCGGUAAUACGUAGGGGGCAAGCGUUAUCCGGAUUUACUGGGUGUAAAGGGAGCGUAGACGGAUGGACAAGUCUGAUGUGAAAGGCUGGGGCUCAACCCCGGGACUGCAUUGGAAACUGCCCGUCUUGAGUGCCGGAGAGGUAAGCGGAAUUCCUAGUGUAGCGGUGAAAUGCGUAGAUAUUAGGAGGAACACCAGUGGCGAAGGCGGCUUACUGGACGGUAACUGACGUUGAGGCUCGAAAGCGUGGGGAGCAAACAGGAUUAGAUACCCUGGUAGUCCACGCCGUAAACGAUGUCGACUUGGAGGUUGUGCCCUUGAGGCGUGGCUUCCGGAGCUAACGCGUUAAGUCGACCGCCUGGGGAGUACGGCCGCAAGGUUAAAACUCAAAUGAAUUGACGGGGGCCCGCACAAGCGGUGGAGCAUGUGGUUUAAUUCGAUGCAACGCGAAGAACCUUACCUGGUCUUGACAUCCACAGAACUUUCCAGAGAUGGAUUGGUGCCUUCGGGAACUGUGAGACAGGUGCUGCAUGGCUGUCGUCAGCUCGUGUUGUGAAAUGUUGGGUUAAGUCCCGCAACGAGCGCAACCCUUAUCCUUUGUUGCCAGCGGUCCGGCCGGGAACUCAAAGGAGACUGCCAGUGAUAAACUGGAGGAAGGUGGGGAUGACGUCAAGUCAUCAUGGCCCUUACGACCAGGGCUACACACGUGCUACAAUGGCGCAUACAAAGAGAAGCGACCUCGCGAGAGCAAGCGGACCUCAUAAAGUGCGUCGUAGUCCGGAUUGGAGUCUGCAACUCGACUCCAUGAAGUCGGAAUCGCUAGUAAUCGUGGAUCAGAAUGCCACGGUGAAUACGUUCCCGGGCCUUGUACACACCGCCCGUCACACCAUGGGAGUGGGUUGCAAAAGAAGUAGGUAGCUUAACCUUCGGGAGGGCGCUUACCACUUUGUGAUUCAUGACUGGGGUGAAGUCGUAACAAGGUAACCGUAGGGGAACCUGCGGUUG